AACCCCGUGGUGAAUAACACGUAGGAUUGCAAAUCCUGAAAUGUAGACUAAUACUCUGCCGGGGUUU
rnacentral:tRNA from 1 species